GUCCAUUUAGGACCAAAACAGCCCAUAAGUUCCGACAAAAGGAAACAUUAAACAAAUCAGCAAAAAAAGGAUCCAAACCCUUCUCCUCUAGACCCUUCAGCUUAUCUUCCUUGUUGACUGCCAAUUCAUCGUCUUCAAGCUCCAAAUUUGUUGCUAGCAGCCCUCAUUGAUGAAGAUAUCUUAAGAUUUCAGCUUGAUAAGCUCUAAUUUACUCAGGAUAUGGCUGCUGAUCAUCAUUUGCUACAAUUUUAUCCUCUGGAUGCCCUGACUCUGAUAGGGCUGCAAAUUGGUUGCUUGUUUGCAAAGUAUUCCCUGGAGCUUCUACUUUCUUUCCCUUGCUACUGCUACCAGAUGCAUCAUCUUUGGAAUAAGUUUGUCAAGUUGCUCUAUCUCUGGCCAUCCAUAAGAGAAUUUACCCACAACAGCAUGUUGUAGUUUCUCGAUGGUAUUCAUUCUUUCGACCUCCUCCUCAGUCCAUUUAAGAUAUGGCUCCCCAUAAAGAAAAGAUAUCUGCUUGAUCUCAAUUGGUGGAACAAGAUGUGGAACUGUAGGCUUCAAGAGAUUUGCAUAUUGUAAUUUGUUCUCAUUUGGUUGUGUUAUCAGUCCUUCCUGAGGUGUUGCAAACGUUAAUUGCUGGCCAGCCCCACCGGAGGACUGGCCACUGGCCGCAAAAGCCAUAGGCAACUAUCUUGAAAUAGCGUUUUGCAUGAAAAUAAGAGGUGAGAGAAGAGAGCUUUUUUUUUUUAUCUCUUAAUAAGACUAUUGAAAAGUUGUAUUAUAGUUGGCAUAUGUGGUUGGUUUUGAAAAAAAAAAAUUAAAAACACCGAAGAAAAGUUUGAAAAUAUAAAUAAAUCUUGGGAGCCCUUGUGUUA